rnacentral:rRNA from 1 species
AGUGAACGCUGGCGGUAGGCCUAACACAUGCAAGUCGAACGGCAGCACAGUAAGAGCUUGCUCUUACGGGUGGCGAGUGGCGGACGGGUGAGGAAUACAUCGGAAUCUACUUUUUCGUGGGGGAUAACGUAGGGAAACUUACGCUAAUACCGCAUACGACCUACGGGUGAAAGCAGGGGAUCUUCGGACCUUGCGCGGUUGAAUGAGCCGAUGGCGGAUUAGCUAGUUGGGGGGGUAAAGGCCCACCAUGGCGACGAUCCGUAGCUGGUCUGUGAGGAUGAUCGGCCACAUUAGAACGGGGACACGGUCCAGACGCCUGAGGGAGGCAGCAGUGGGGAAUAGUGGACAAUGGGCGCAAACCUGACCCAGCCAUACCGCGUGGGUGACGAAGGCCUUCGGGUUGUAAAGCCCUUUUGUUGGGAAAGAAAAGCAGCAGGUUAAUACCCCGCUGUUCUGACGGUACCCAAAGAAUAAGCACCGGCUAACUACGUG